GGGAGGCAGCAGUGGGGAAUAUUGCACAAUGGGGGAAACCCUGAUGCAGCCAUGCCGCGUGUGUGAAGAAGGCCUUCGGGUUGUAAAGCACUUUCAGUUGUGAGGAAAGGUUAGUAGUUAAUACCUGCUAGCUAUGACGUUAGCAACAGAAGAAGCACCGGCUAACUCCGUGCCAGCAGCCGCGGUAAUACGGAGGGUGCGAGCGUUAAUCGGAAUUACUGGGCGUAAAGCGCACGCAGGCGGUUUGUUAAGCUAGAUGUGAAAGCCCCGGGCUCAACCUGGGAAUAGCAUUUAGAACUGGCAGGCUAGAGUCUUGGAGAGGGGAGUGGAAUUCCAGGUGUAGCGGUGAAAUGCGUAGAUAUCUGGAGGAACAUCAGUGGCGAAGGCGACUCCCUGGCCAAAGACUGACGCUCAUGUGCGAAAGUGUGGGUAGCGAACAGGAUUAGAUACCCUGGUAGUCCACACCGUAAACGCUGUCUACUAGCUGUUUGUGUAUUAUAUACGUGAGUAGCGAAGCUAACGCGCUAAGUAGACCGCCUGGGGAGUACGGCCGCAAGGUUAAAACUCAAAUGAAUUGACGGGGACCCGCACAAAAGGG
rnacentral:rRNA from 1 species